AUAGUAUCAAAAUACUGCAAGAAGUUCAGCUCAGAAGCUCAGCGCUCACGAAACUACUUUUUGGCCAAGUUAUACUAUAUAAUGAGUUUGUUUUUGUAAUACAAUCCUGCCAUAUCAUGAGAUUUUAACAUUAUGUGAGAAACGUUUAAGACAAGAUAAGACAAGUCAUUGCAAAACAAAGCAACAAGCGCGCACAUUUUGUAUAAGUUUCAUGCUAUCAAUUCUUCAUAAUUAAGCUAUAAAAAAGAAGGAAGAAGAACAAAGAAAAGAAGUUAGAAUACCAAGAUAUUCUGUUAUUUCUUUAUUUGUUACAGAAAAGAAAAAAAAGAAAGGAUGAAGGCAGUUUUAUUGAUUUUGAUCUUGUUUGCCGUUACUGUUGAUGCUAGAAAACUUUUCCCUAACAACAUGACGUUUUAUGAAAAAGAAACAAGAUAUGUGGGUUAUGAUGCAGAUUGUGUGUGCGACAUUGAUCCCAAUAUUCCUGGAUUUUGUCUUCCAUCAAAUUGUCCUCUUAUAUUGCCAGUGUUGUAUAGAUGUGGCAGCUGUCGGGGCGGAUCAAAUUGCUGUGCACUUUUAUGAUGAACUUGUGUUGAAAGAUACAAGACGUUUUCAUUGAUUUAUUUACACAACUUUUUCUAAUUUACAAAAGUGUACUGUGAAAUACGCACUAAAAAGAAUUGAUAGAAUCAUUAAUUCAAGAACUUUGA